rnacentral:lncRNA from 1 species
CUUGAAGCAGGAAUCUCCUUCCCUAACCCAGAGGCUCUUUGGAGCCUGACUAUUUACCUCUCCUGCUGUAGGAACCAAGUACCAGGCAAUGCUGAGUGUAGAUGACUGCUUUGGGAUGGGCCGCUCAGCCUAUAAUGAAGGGGACUAUUAUCAUACGGUGAUGUGGAUGGAGCAGGUGCUAAAGCAGCUUGAUGCUGGGGAGGAGGCCACCACAACCAAGUCCCAGGUGCUGGACUACCUCAGCUAUGCUGUCUUCCAGUUGGGUGACCUGCACCGUGCCCUGGAACUCACCCGUCGCCUCGUCUCCCUUGACCCAAGCCAUGAACGAGCUGGAGGGAAUCUGCGGUACUUUGAGCAGUUAUUGGAGGAAGAAAGAGAAAAAAUGUUAUCAAAUCAGACAGAAGCUGAGCUAGCAACCCCAGAAGGCAUCUAUGAGAGGCCUGUGGACUACCUGCCUGAGAGGGAUGUUUACGAGAGCCUCUGUCGUGGGGAGGGUGUCAAACUGGUGAGAUGUGUGUCGGGGGGUUCAGGGUGCCAAAGCUGUGUACCUGGACUCUGGCUCUGGGCACACAGCUUUAGGGAAAGUGUUCUUCAUUUCGUAGGUACUUUUCUUAGUAUCUCCCCCAGUUUUUCACGGCAUAUCCUGAGUCUGACGUGGGUAUUCUCUGAGGUGUAGGAAAGGAGUUUAUCUCCUCUCAGGCCCCAGGUAGAACGUUGCUCCUCCAAGUUACCACUGAGCUUGCCUCCUU